rnacentral:rRNA from 1 species
CAGUCGAGCGGAUGAGGAGAGCUUGCUCUCUGAUUUAGCGGCGGACGGGUGAGUAAUGCCUAGGAAUCUGCCUGGUAGUGGGGGAUAACGUUCCGAAAGGAACGCUAAUACCGCAUACGUCCUACGGGAGAAAGCAGGGGACCUUCGGGCCUUGCGCUAUCAGAUGAGCCUAGGUCGGAUUAGCUAGUUGGUGAGGUAAUGGCUCACCAAGGCGACGAUCCGUAACUGGUCUGAGAGGAUGAUCAGUCACACUGGAACUGAGACACGGUCCAGACUCCUACGGGAGGCAGCAGUGGGGAAUAUUGGACAAUGGGCGAAAGCCUGAUCCAGCCAUGCCGCGUGUGUGAAGAAGGUCUUCGGAUUGUAAAGCACUUUAAGUUGGGAGGAAGGGUUGUAGAUUAAUACUCUGCAAUUUUGACGUUACCGACAGAAUAAGCACCGGCUAACUUCGUGCCAGCUGCC